rnacentral:misc_RNA from 1 species
UCUCCGUAGGUGAACCAGCGGAGGGACCAUUACAGAGUUCAUGUCCUCACGGGUCGAUCUCCCACCCUGUGUUACUAUACUUUGUUGCUUUGGCAGGCCGCCCGCGUGGGCUACCGGCUCCAGCUGGUAAGUGCCUGCCAGAGGACCCCAAACUCUGAAUAUUUUAUUGUCUGAGUACUAUAUAAUAGUUUAAAACUUUCAACAACGGACCUCUUGGUUCUG